rnacentral:rRNA from 1 species
AGCGAACGCUGGCGGCAGGCCUAACACAUGCAAGUCGAACGGACCUUUCGGGGUUAGUGGCGGACGGGUGAGUAACACGUGGGAACGUGCCUUUAGGUUCGGAAUAGCUCCUGGAAACGGGUGGUAAUGCCGAAUGUGCCCUUAGGGGGAAAGAUUUAUCGCCUUUAGAGCGGCCCGCGUCUGAUUAGCUAGUUGGUGAGGUAAUGGCUCACCAAGGCUACGAUCAGUAGCUGGUCUGAGAGGAUGACCAGCCACAUUGGGACUGAGACACGGCCCAAACUCCUACGGGAGGCAGCAGUGGGGAAUCUUGCGCAAUGGGCGAAAGCCUGACGCAGCCAUGCCGCGUGGAUGAUGAAGGUCUUAGGAUUGUAAAAUCCUUUCACCGGUGAAGAUAAUGACUGUAGCCGGAGAAGAAGCCCCGGCUAACUUCGUGCCAGCCGCCGCAAGAC